ensembl:lncRNA
UGGAUUUCUUGUUUUGAUUUUUUUUUAUUCAUUUCUAUUGGACGCCAUCCAAAAAUACUAGAAGAAUGACAUUUAGUCUCUUAGCCACAUUCAAAGGUGUUUAGUGUAAAUUUCUGGGAGUAAGAUCAAUGUCAGAACCAACCAACACAGAUAGUAGCAUUGUGAAUAAGCUGAAAACAUGACACUCGGGGUUUUGAAAAUAUUUUUUCCUGCAACAGAGACAUGUAAUUGCUAUAUGUACAUACUACUCCUUUCUGAUGUCAGUAGCUGUUGCUUUGAGAUGCCAAAAUUUGUCCGCAUUUUCUAGCUGAAAAAUAAAGAAUGGAAACCCAAUGCUGUUUGAUGUGAGUAGGUGCAAUUUGUACUAGAAAAAGCUCGAAGUUAUGAGAUUGGUAGGUAAGGGCCAGGUACUCAUGUUCAGAUGCUCAGCUCCAUGCUAAACAAAAGCUUCAAGUUUUCAAAAAAACAAAACAAAACAAACAACAACAAACCAACAAAAAAGAAAAAAAAAACAGUCUUAUCUAUUUAGGCUAACUCCUAAAAACAAAAUUUUAAACAGCAAAUUUCAGCUUAUUCUUCAAUAUAUGAGAAUUGCUCUGAAGGUAAUGACUCCUAUCUUAUGAUGUUGGCCCACAAUGGAAAAAAAAAAAAAAAAAAAAAAAAGGCAUCCACUGACAUUUGCUGAUGCUUACUGAAUGUUUAUGGUGGCCAAACAAUGGUGGUGCGGUGGUGCAUUUUAGCAGUGGCAACAGCAACAUGAAAGAUAAGCCACGUUCCAGUUACAUGGAUUUUCACAAGCACAGCAUCCAGACUCUUGUUCAUUACUGGCAAAAAUGCAUAGCUUACAGCGGUAUCUAUUUUGAGAAAUAGUGUUUUAUAGCUGAGAAUUUUCUCUACUGAAUAGUUUUACUGUGCUCUUUGUAUCUGUUGUAGUUUCCAUGGAAAUAAAUAGGAGGCAUUACUUGUGGAGUGUCCUACGUACAUACACCAUUUAAAUUAGAAAUACAGAAAAAAAAACCAACAGGUAAUUCAGUUUCAGGAUAACCACACUUUGCCAGUGUGGUUAUUACAAUUCAGAAAUAAUUGUGCUUGCUUUUGUCUGCCCCUUCACCCCUUUCAGCUGUGUCUUCUAUGACCACUCAAUUUGAAAAUGCUACAUUCUGGUACAUUAUCUGAGGAACAAAAAUACUUUAUCUGGGCUUACUGCUUUUAUUCAACACCCAGAACAAUCUAUGUCUAUUCCUUUAAGCUCCUUGGGAUGUGAAAAAAUAUGGUUACAUAAAUCUUUGUAAUCCUGAGGGGAGGAUAGCAUAUAAAGAGUUUACUGGCGUUAGGAUUAAGUCUAGUGUAUUACAAUGCAAUCUUUAAUCUGCUAAAAUCUACCUUGGUGUUGCAAGCUGUUUUGUGCUUGUAGAUGAAGUUUUGGAAAUAGGACACAGCUGGCAACACUGAUAGAACACCUUAAAAAAGGAAGAAAAGAAAGAAAAAAGACAAAAUCGGUGAAUCUACUAAUGAACAGAUUUGCCACUGCUCCUUGUACAGUGGGCUCUUAUGAGUCUAAAAAAUGACAGAUGAUGGAGGAAAUCCUUGUAACUGAAACUAGGAAGAAACAGUCACUAAAGUUGAAAACACCGCCAUAGUCACCACAGAAAAUCACAAAUGUGAAGCAAAACCCAUGUAACAUUGCCGUGCAAGCUGCAAGAGUCUUACUUGGUUUUGAGAUUCAUCAAUCCAAAUGAAUGUAACAAAUGAGUCUUAGGUACCUAAGAAAAAUGAAAAAUUCCUCAUGCUGAAAGAGACUUUGUUCUCUUUUGAUAAAUCUGUAUGAAAUGAUAACAUUGCUGCAGUCAUGUGCUACUUCAGAGAAAAAAAAUGGGGAAAAUGGCUAUUUUUAGGCAUUUUUCUAAAGAACACCACAGUUCUACUAUUUGAACUUGUCUAUUCCCAGUCAAACAUUUUCCUGUCAAGCUACACAUUACUUCUUCUGAGUUUAAAGAUUCAAAACCAAUGUAGAUCAGCAAUUAAUGCAUAGGCCUAACUGGGAGAGAGGCUGGGGCACAGGUUUCUAGCUCUGCAGCCUUGGCUAAAGCAUUUUUUGGGCACAGCUAUGUGCUCAGGAAAGAAAACAAAAUAUAAAGAUUUGCUUAAGAGCUACUGUGACCUAUGACAGUUAAAUAUCAGAUUAAAUGAAAAUCUAAUUAGGGCCUUAGGUAUUAAAUACAGUUGACCAAGGGAAGCCAAUUGAUGUUGUCUAUUUUGGACCUGCGUAAAGCUUCAGAUACUCUUUCUCUCAGUAUCCUUCUGGUCAAAAUGUCCAGCACACAGCUAGACAAAAAAACAUAAAGCAAUGGAUGAGCAACUGGCUGAUGGUAUGGGUUGAAGAGUUAUGUAUAAUAAGCUACAGUAAAUGGGUUUACAUCAGGCUAGCCAGCCACUAGUGGGGUUCCUCAGGGCUCCAUUAUAGGGCCACUUCGCUUUAAUGUUUCCAUAAAUGACUUGGAUGUAGGACUAGAAGGUGUUUUGAGCAAGUUUGCUGGUGACACUAAAUUGAGAGGAGCUGCUCACUCCAUCACAGGUGGCAAGGCCUUGCAGAGAGGUCUAGACAAAUGAGAGAGCUGUGCAGCCACCAACUGCAUGAAGAGCAAGUGCCAGAUUCUGCACUUGGGAAGGGGCAAACCUGGCUAUACAUACAAACUGGGGGAUGAGAUGGUGAAGAGCAGACCAGCUGAAAUCUGUUCUGGUCAUGGUUGACAGCAAGUUUAGCAUCAGUCAGCAGUGUGCCCAGGUGGACAGGAAGGCCAAUUGUAUCCUGGGAUGCAUCAAGCAUGGUCAAGGGAAUGGAUUGCCCCACUCUACAUGGCCCUGGUGCAGCCUCACCUUGAAUACUGGGUGCAGUUUGAGGCACUACACCACAAAAAGGACAUAAAACUAAUAAAAAGUACCCAAAGGAGGGCUAAAAAUAUGGUGACAAGUCUAGAUGGGAAGAGAUAUGAGGAGCAGCUGAAGUCCCCCGGUUUGUUCAGCCCAGAGUAGAGAAUGAGGAGAAACCUCAUUGCAGCCUAUUGCUUCCUCACAAGGGGGAAUGGAAGAGCAGGUGCUAAUCUCUGCUCUCUGGUGACAGGAACAGGACCAGAGGGAGUAGCACGGAGCUACAUCAGGGAAAGGUCAGAUUGAUUGUCAAGAAAAUGUUCUUCAACAAGAGGUUAACAGGCACUGGAAAAGGCUCCCCAUGGAAGUGUAAUGACAUUGAGUUUGCCAGAGUUCAGUAAGCAUCUGGAAAAUGCUCUCAGUCCUAUGAUCUGAUUUUUGGGUAGUCCUCUGUGAAUCCAGGGGUUGGACUCAAUGAUCAUUAUGGGUCUCUUCCAACUUGGGAUAUUCUGUGAUUCUAUACUGUAUCUGAAAAAAAGAGAGUUCAUGUGGGCCUUUUCCAUAGCUGAGAGCCCUAUAGGAACCUCACAUAGUGCAUCAAAAAAUAAAUAAUUAAGGUUUUCCCUUAAGCUCUUAAGUGAUAUUCAAAUUCUGAAACUGAAAACUACUGUUUCGAACAAUUCAAAGUCUGAACAAAUUAUUAGACAUCAGCAUAAAAUUCUGUACUUUCCUGGAAUGCUGCCAGGGUGUUGAGUUUUUUUUUUACUUUUCGUUUUGUUUAAUGGAGAUGCAUAUUUUUCUACAGCUAGGGUUGUUCCAUCUGCCCUUGUCAAGCUUUAAAUAUACUAGAGCUCGUUAGAGCUAAAUAUAAGCCUUAAUACACAGACUUAUGUUUAUCUUAUAAAAUUAUGCAAAUUAUCCUGCACAUAAACUGAUAUUGAUCAGUAUUUCUGUUAGAUAAGUUAAGCUUUAAGCAAAAUAGUUCCAGUCUUAGAAGGAAGCCUUAGCAGAAAGGAGUCAUGAGACUUCAGAAUCUACAAGAUUGUAAAGUAGUAGCUUUUCCUUCUUAUUUACUAGUUUGCAUUUCCAAAGCACUACACAAUCGUGAACAAAUUAAUCUAAGGCAUUACAGUGAAUUUUACAGAUAAGGACAUUAAAAGCCUUUAGUAAAUGUUUAAUUGAAAUAACUGCCAUACGUUAAUUCCAAGAAACUUGUUUCAGUAUCAGAAAGAUUUAGCAAACAUCUAGUGAGAGUGAACUCAAUAUGCCCCAGUGCAGAGAAUCUCACGUGCACUACCCUUCUCCCUCAGCUAGAAAGAACUGCUUUGAAAUGACAUCUUAAGAGUAAAUGAGGAGCACACUAAGAAUGGAAAGAAAUUAAUAAUACACAAGCCUAUGGAAUAGACAGAGCAUGUGCAGAAACCAUAUUCUUUAUGGCUGCCCCUUAGGCAACAGCACAGCUUUGCAUGGAGAAAAAGCUUUCACUUGGUCCUCACAGUAGUUCUGAAUCUAACUUCCAAAUCAAAGGAUUUGUACUCCUUUAAGCAAGAGUGACUGUCACCCCCUCCAGAAUGGUAAGUUAAUUCUAAUCACUCAGUAAAAUCUGGCAGAGGAUAGCCUGUGGUGAACUCAAAGGUUUUCUCACAGAACUGUGUUUUAAUGUAAAGCAUCACCGCUUCUGCAUUCUGUCAUCUGCCAAUGGGAAUCCAAUUGCUUCAGGAUCCCUACUAAACACCACUGUCAUAAAAUAAACUUUUAUAUUAAACUUCUGUUCCUGUGCAGUCAUUUUUGAACAAAGUGUCUGGCAUUUAACCAAUUGGUCUUUUCCUGGGUAAAGGUCAUAGAGAAAGAAGGAGGAUGUGAUCCUUCACAUCCAAUUAUCCACAUCUCGAGACAUGUUAUACUGGAAGAUUUUUGCCACAUCUCAUCUAUUAGGAUAACCCUUUCCCUAGCACAAUACCAAACUGUUGUGUUUCUGGAACUGAUAUCCAAUAGUGAUUUCAGUAGAAAAGAGUGGAUGGAAAAAAAAUUAAAUCUACUAGGAAAAAUAGGUCUUCACAUUUCACAAUAACAUGCAUAUUGCUUAUUAGCAGGCAUUUAGGUCAUAUAUGCACAGAGAGUCUAGCAGUCCAGCCGUGUGACUAUCCAGCCAGAAGCACACCAUCAGUUGGGUGGGCAGACCCAAGAACGCUUGCACAUCCUCUGUCAGCCUGGUUUGUUUCCAUAGAUGACUUUUUAAGAAAUGUCUCUUAACUGAUACUUUUGGCUUCCUAUGCAUGACAAGGUUAUGUUUGAUAAGUGCAUAAAUACACUAUGGUAUUUUAGAUUUCUUGCUUACCCAGUUUUGGGGGACAAAAGAUCUCUGAGUAAAAAAGAAUCUGGGAUAUUUUGAGAAUAUUCUCCAAGGGGGAGAAAAAGGAAGGCAGGUGGCAGAGUGAGAGCUAGGAAGGAGAGAGCAGAAGGGUGAAUAAUAUUAUAUUACUAAUGAAUGAUGGCCUGCUGGUGUGAACUUGAAGUGUUUUAAGAUCCACCCCAUCAAAGCUGAGAUUACCUGAAAAAUAUUUUCCUGAAUCUCUAAAAUAUUCUCAAAGUUUUGUAUUUGCCUCUCAUUCUUCAGGGUAACAUCCUCAAUUUUGGAUUAAAAGUAAAGUAUUUAAUCCUGGAACUGUUGUUUAUUCAGGCAACAAGCUGAAUUUCAUUCUUAUAUUGGUUCUUCUUAAAUAAACAUAGAUGUAUACCUGGAAUACUGAAGAUAUAUCUUGCAAAACAAUGAAUGAUAAUAAACAAUGAUAUGCUAUGAUGAUAAACAGUGAAACUGCUUAGAUAGUAAAUAGGUGGCAUUCCUAAAAGAAGUAAAGCUAGACAUGGACCAGCUUUUGCUUCUUCCUAUAUAUCUGCCCUUAAUAUUUGUGGACUUUUUGUUAUAAGUGAAUUUAAUGAGUGUCAUUCUGCACAUUUACUAAGUAAGGCAACAGGCACUGUGCAUAUUGGUCUGUGCUCAGAUAAAAUUUCAGUUAAAAUAUAUAUAUGAAUAACCAAAUAUACUCACUACAAGAGCACAUUAAAAAAUGGAAAACAAAAAAACACUCUGUUGAAUACUGUCUGGCUCUGUUUUGUGAAGGCCUUCCCAAAUCCUCUCCUAUCUUCACAAAAUCAGGAUAGUAUAUUCUCUUAUGUCUUAGCAAAAUAAAAAUGAUACCUGGCAUUUCAUCUGCUUAGUUGGCUCUGCUGUUAAGGGAUUUAAUUCCUCUCAGCAGAUAUACAAAUGAGAACAUUUGUCUUAGUCCUAGAGACAGAAUCAUUUAUGUUACACUGCUUUGCAUUAUGUUAAUAAUUUCUAUCCUAAGUGAAGUCACAGGAAGUGUUUGUCACUAUCUCCAAUGGGACUCAAAUUUAUUUGAUGUAUGUUUAGUAUAUAUAAAGUUCAGUCAUUUCACUAGAGUUCUUAUAUUCAUAAUGGAUAACAUUUUUCUCCAAUGCUUUUUUGAAAGGAGGAAAAAAAUUGCAUGCAUGCAUAUUCAUAAAAUACUACCACAGAAGAAUUAGAAUUGUGUACAAUUUGAAAGAGUGCUGAAUUACAGGUGGGGUUAAAACAACUUCACAUUAGUGAAAUAUCGUAUGGUGGCUUUCAUUAUUGAUUCUCUGUCAACAUCACGUUAGUUCUUUUCUAAAUCAGUUCUGUGGCUUGAACUUGAAAAGACCAUGAUGCGGAGUCCACAGGUUCAUUCUAAUUGCUCCUUUUCCUGGUAGACUCCACUGUGCCAGCCUGUCACUCAUCAAGACCAUUUGUCUGUGAACAGACUUAAUUAAGCACCUCAAAUCCAAUUUCUUUGAUCUUUUACACUAUUAAGGAAACACACUCAGUCCAUCAGCUAUGGAGAGUUUUCUAAAGAAAAACCUCCUGAAAACACCCACUGGUGUUAUUCUCCUCUGUUGAAAUAGAAAGUUCAAAAACAAGCAGGUGAAUUAGGAAGGGAAAAUAAAAUAAUUGGAGAGACAACAAAAAAAUUGUUAAAUCCUAAAUAUUCAGAAGAUUUAAGGAGUGAUUUACAGCACUUAUCAACUCUUGCACUUUUUUUCUCUCUCAAGAGAGAAAAAUAUCCAGUAGAGACUUGAUUUAAAUAUAAAUGUUUAGUUACCCUCCUUUCAGAAUUUAGCAGGCAAUUGCAUUUGUUUUUGUGAAAGAGGUAUGCACUUUCAGCAUCCUUUCUCACUGCUCAAAUAUCCAGCACAUUGAUAGAAAUGGUCAGGUGGAAACACUUUAAAAAUAAAUAACCAGAGUUUCAUGAAAAUAAUUCAAGAGCUGCUUUUGGGCUUUUUUAUUAACAUUCUUGCCAUUUACACUGUAUUGACUUAAUUAUUUUCAGAUAAUAUUUACCUGUGUCUACUCUUAUAAUUGCAUCUUAUGCAAAACUGUUUGCAUUCAUAAAAAGAUCUUAUCUCGCAGCUUUGUGACAGAGAUUAUUCUGCACUCAAUGGCUACUCACUGCACCAUCAACCAGAAACCAAAUUCAUAAUAUAGAUUGUUGUGAGUAAUAACUUUUAAGGAUUUUUUAAUAAUUAAUUUAUUAAUAAUGAUUUCAUUCCACACUGGGAAAUAAGUUAUUUGUAUUUUAGAAAAUACUGCUGCUAAAGGUGUUUUUCUGAAAGAAGAUCACUAGCUAUAGUUCAUUCUAUUGUUGUCAGGUAUUUUUCAUGCCUUGUUAGCUAAUUUCCUCUUCUUACUGUCAGUUAAAUAUUUUCCAGAAUUUCAUGGUUAUGGAAUGGAGAUCAGACUUCUGCAGCCAUAUCUGAAGAGCAGCUCCUGUGUGACAAACACUUAACUGGUUAAAGAGUGUUUUACAACUCUACGUAAGGCUGAAUUAACCAGAUAAAUAUUCAGGCCUAAACAUGGUCAUGGUACAAAGUUGAUUUGAAACAGAUAAAAAUUGCUAAUUCGAGCUUUGUGAAAACUUUACACAUAUAUUUGUAUAUAAAAUAUUUAGUUCUCUCUUUAGUUUGAGACUAUUUCUUCUAUUAACAAUUCAUUAUGGUCUAUGUAACAACAUACGUAAAUGAAGUAGAAAUGUCUUCAGUGACUACUGGGAUUGCUCAGUCUGGAGAAGAGGCUCAGAGGAGACCUUAUUGCUCUCUAUAGCUACCUGAAGGGAGGAUGUCGUGAGCUGGAGGUCGGCCUCUUCUCUCAUGUAACUAGUGAUAGGACUAGAGGGAAUGGCCUCAAGUUACUCCAGGGAAGAGUCUGGCGGGACAUUAGGAAAUACUACUUUUCUGAAAGAGUCAUCAGGUGCUGGAAUGGGCUGCCACCCAGAGAGAUGGCGGAGUCACCAGCCCCGGAGGUGUUCAAGGAAUGUUUAGACGCUGUGUUGAGGGACAUAGUUUAGUGAGAACUAUUGGUGAUAGGUGGACAGUUGGACUGGAUGAUCUUGUAGGUCUUUUCCAAUCUUAGCGAUUCUAUGAUUCCAUACUUCAUUGUAUACUACGAUUAUAACUAUCCUCAGACAAAAAAAAAUUAUGUGGCAAAUGUAGUACAUUUCCUAUGUUCCUUUUAGAAGCACUUUUUUGUCCUUCAGAAAACAAAAAUCAGAUUUAUUUUAGAGUUUACUUUUCUUAAAUUCCUAUCAGAUAAGACAGAUAUUUAUGCUAGAAAGUAGUAUAGAGUUUAUUUAAUUACUUUUCCAGUUUCUAUUCUCUAUUCUAUUUCAGUUCUCUCUCAGAAUAUAAGGUACAUUUGGAAGUUUGAAGAACUGUAGGACAAAACUUAUGAUGAAAGCUGAAAACUGGCAUUAGAUUUUAUUAAAUAAAUCAUCACUGCAAGAAGGUAGAAAUAAUCCUGAGCAAUGCUGUAAAUUCCACGUAGUCUCAAUUUGUUCUCACUUCAUUUUGCAGUAGUAUUCACAUGUGCUAGCUCAUAAGAGUUGAUAUCACUGUUAGUUAUUGCUGUGCUUUCUUCUAAUUACCACCAAAUUGUGACCACAGCAAACUACAUAUGUUUUUUAAAAUAUCACUCUUUUAGUUCUUCAUCCUUGAUGCAAACAUGAUGAGAAAUGUAUCUAUGCUUAUUAGGUGUCUUACAGCAAGGCAAAGUUACCCAUAUUAAGUCUCAGGAGAUAGGACUUUCUUCUGACCCAGAUAUUUACAAAACUGGAAGUCAAAGUACAGCAACAUGAGCAAUUGGACAAGUCAUCAGUAAGAGCUAAUGAGAAACUGUGUAAAAUGACAUAAUUCUAUUGGAUACUGAGAUGGUAUCAUUAGUAUGUAUUAAAAGACUCAGAGAGGGUUAAAUUAAGAAAUGAUGUGCCACUUUUCAUUAUCCCAAGGAAGUCCUGUAUACAGUAUAUCAUUAGAAACUAUUUACUGAAGCAAAAUAUCAAGCACACAUUGUGUAUCUCUUGAAUCAAGAUGUCAUAAAUAAAUAUUUUCAAGACAAAAUAAGCAAACUUGCACUUCAGUAGGCCAUGAAUCUGACCUCUUUAUCAUGUACUUCAAAAUAAAAUCACUGACUUCUUUUUUUUAACAGCCUUUGCUCACCAUCCACUAGAAUUUUCUGACAAAAAUCCCCACAAGGGCUCUGAGUUAAGGCGGGCUGAGCUAGCUGACACAACCAACUCUGAUUUCCAUUCAGUAUUCAGCUAGUUCCAGUCACCAAAGGGUCUUAAAUUAAGGUAACAUGAGAUAAGAGGGAAGAUCCUCACUGGGAUAACUAACUAAGAGAUUGGAAACAAAGAGCUUCAAUAAAUGGUCAAUUUUCUCAGUGAAUAGAAGGCACCAGUGGUAUCCCACAGGGAUCUUCACUGGGGCCAAAGCUGCUCGACAUGCUCGGGGCUGAUCAGGAGAACAGAAUGGAGAGCAGAUUAAGUUUGCUGUUGCUACCAAGUUUUCAUGGUAAGAAAAACAGAAACUGACUGCUAAAAAGAGAGUUGAAGAAAGACUCUGUGGCACUGAGUGAUUGGGGAUAAAAUGGCAGACGACAUUCAGACUACACAAAUGUAAAGUAAUGAACUUGGCAAAAAACAGCUCAUGCUGUGCCCAGUGAUUGAUUCUGAAUUCACUGCUACAUCAGACAAAAUAACAGCCUUAUGAAAAUAUCAGUUCAGUAGCUCAGGAAUCAUUAUCAGAGGAAAAUCUCAGAAAAUGUAAUGUUUUUGUGCAAAGUCAAUGCUAUGAUCAUAUCUUGAUUGUUAUGUAUAAUUCUGGUCCUUUCAUCUAGAAAAAGCACAGAGUAGAAUUUGAAAAAAAGGUGGACAAAGAUGAUCAAAGGUAACCAAAUAACUCACACAGAAGGGUGAUCUGUAAGAGCUGGGGCUCUCAAUCUAGAAAAGAGCCAACACAGAAGCACGUAAAAAUCACAGCAGACAAAUAGGAGAAUAAGGGAUAAACGAGCUGCCUCUUGCAUUGCAACAGGAAAGCCUCAGCUGGAAAUGAGCAUGUGGAAGUUCAACAUCAAAAACCAGACUGUGCACAGCUCAGUCAAACCUCUCUAAGCCUUGGCCAGUGAACAUCACUGAGUUGUGAAGAUUAUUCAUUUUAAAGAUCAAAGUGAACAAUUGCUUGAAGAAGCUCCAACUAAGUCCAUUAACAUUCCUUUUCCUGGGAAUCUCUUUUUGUACAAAGCUCAAAAUCCAGCCAAAAUCAUCAUGCAUUCAAGUGAUCAAUGAAUGAGCACUACAUACGGCAAUGAGGUAAAUGUUUGGGAAUGACAAAAACUAGGUAAGUAAGAAAAGGUACACUGCUCUCCUAUUAGCACAUUUCACAUUAGAGAAGGAUUCCAAGCAGCUUAAAAACAGAAAAUUAUGCCACAAUUUUGCAGAAUAAGAAAAAAUCACUGCAUUGCUAAGAGAAGUUUAAGUGUUGCAUGCAAAUCUUCACGACAAUUGAUUCGCAAUGAAGUUUAUAUUCAUUUCAUGAUCAUUUGCCACUUGAUUACAUGGAGUUAACUCACAGAGGAACUGCCUUUCCAAAGUUUCCCAGUCAAACUUGUAAUGAAUACUCCCCUCAUUUUGACUGAACUAUUUUGCUUUUUAAGAGAAGAGAAGGCAUGAACAUCACAACUUUCUGAUCAGAAUUUUCUGCUCAACUUCAGGACGAUACAAAUACUGGUCCUAUUAAUUUGUAAUUGAUUUAGAAGAUAAUCUUCAACAUUUACAAACUGCCAGUGAAAAUAGCGUAAGGUUCUGACUGCUACAAGUAUAUACCUAAAUUUAAAAAUCUUGCCUCUGUAGUUGAUAUUAUUGAACUUCUCUGUACUAAGUUGUCAUCAAUUGCAUCUAUAAUGUAACUUAUUCCUAAGUAUUCUUUUUGCUAAAGAAAGGAACCCACUGAAAGACAAAACACUCACAUCAUCCUUAGCACUUGAGUGCCAGCACAUUUUCCUGUGUGCCUGGUUAAUAGUAUUUCUUUCCCGGAAAAAAAAAAAAAAAAAAAAAAAAGGAAUAAAAAUAUAAACAUACACUAGAUUUGCACAACGUACAGUAUGAAAUUUAGUUUUAAAGGCCUGUUUUCCAGUCCCUGUUAUAGCAACUUAACAUGAUCCUAAUUUUUUAUGUUUUUUAAAUCUAAUAAACUAAAUCCCUGAAAAUAUGGUAGAACACAAAGGUCUUCUAGCUUAAAGCAUCCAUUAGUCAAUCAGUUUUGCUUUGCUGGGUAAACAGUCUUACCUUUUUGAAAACAAGGAAGUUUAUGUUAUAAACUCCUCUUGAGAGAGCAGUCAUUACUACAAUUACAUUUGACCUUUGUUGCUUCAAUUCCAGGGAAAAUAAUCGCAAUUCACAGAGUUAAUUAAAAAUACACAAUGCUGCAGAAAAAAAAGAAAAGAAAACUGUUUGAAAAUAGGCAAAAUUGUAUUCAGUAUCUAAAGCUCCAGGUGCAUCUAUUUCUUAGAUGAUUAGAUAAUUUUAAAGUAUCUCUGCUGUUGUAAUUACAGAAGUAGUUAUUAUUCUGCAGUUUCUCAGUUUUUUAGCCACUUGAAUACUAUGGUUUUAUUCUUCUGUAAAAAUCACAUCUGUUGACAAAUUAAGUGUUCCAUAGACUGGCCUGAACUGGAACUCCACUAUUUGCAUGUCACAGUUUUUCCAGAUACUUAAGUGUAUGUGCUUGUGUAUCUGCGUACACAAAUAGAUAUACAAGUUCUCUAUGUUCACCUUGAAACUUAACCGUUAGGUUUAAUGUAGACUCCAAUGCAAUGCAACACUAAAAUACUCAAUUUGCUUUCUCUUAAGAGAUUUAAAAAUAUAAGAAUAUGAAUUAUCUAUCUGCCCUAUUUGUGGAGGCUCCUGACUAUUUUGUAACUUUAUAAACAAUAAAUUCUAAAGUAACAAAUACAAGAGUUACAGCCAAAGGGUUUAGUCACAAUUGUGAUCUUGAUAACCAUGUUCACUUGAUAAACCAGAUACAGUGCUUGUCAAGGAAAUUUAUAACUACAUACUGUGUGCACUAUAUCAAAGGGCAGUGCACUCACAGGACUCUAAUGAGGAAGUAAACAAUGCUGAGGGUCAGAUCAGUAGGCUGCAACACGCUGCUCUCCACAGAGAAAAUAAUGGCUGAAUUAAAUCCUGUAUUUGGUAGCAGCGCCACAUGAAGGAACAUAUUUUACUCUUUAGACAUAUAAGCUGUUCUAGAAAACCAUUUCCUGGCUUAUUGUCACACAGGUCUUCUAUUGAUCACAACAAAAACAACACUGUGAUUGAUCCUUCUUGCUGUAGUAUUUCCAAUAUGCUCAUAAACUAAAAGUCCAGGUACCAUUUAUGUUGAAGUUAAUGGGACGAUAUGCUUGAGCCUAGGUUACUCAAUCUAUGUACAGUUUAAUAGAACAGAGUCUAACCUCUUUAUGUCUACUGGUUUUGCUGCAAUGGAACAGAUUACUUAAAUAGUACUGCAGAUAAAAAUACUACUUGAUAAUGCUGCUUAGAUAAACCUUUCACAGUGUAUUCACAUCUCCACUGAAUCAUACUGACCAUGUAAGUUUUUACUUCCUGGCUCUAGGAGAAGAGUGGCUGUCAUAUUUAUCACCACUGUGUUCAAUGUCCAACCUUUGUUAUUUCAAGCCCUGUCUCCUUUCCUAUCAGGCUGUGCUCCAUGUCACGUAUUUAUGCUUCUCCUUGAGCUUCACUGUGAUAACUGAGAGGUUUUUAUUCCUCUUAAGAGUUUAGCUCUCCUGUUGAGACACAUCCUAGGCAAACAUGCAACCUUUUCUCUAAAUAAAACCAGUCUUUGCUUGAUCGAACUUAGCACAUUAGCAUGAAACUCAACCAGAAAUGGAAAUUCAGGAGGAAAAAGAAGGAAAAAAAAACACCAGCAAACAAACAAACGAAAAUGCAUACCGUGUAGUUAUCAAUAAAGCGACCACUUUACUCUUGUAUAUUCCUUAAAUCUGUGCUUAGUUCUCUGAACCUGAUGUACAUAUGCAGUUCCCUGCUUUUCUGCUGCAAGGAACCAUUUGACAGGGACAGCCAUGUAGCUCCUUUUAGGUGUGCAACAUGAAGUGCUGCUAGAAGGAAAGACAAACCACCUUCAUCAGCAGCGUAAGGCUAAUCUCUUUCUCAAGAUCUCCAAGCUCUGUGAUGCUUAGGAAACAAAGCUGAGAAAAUAAAGUUAAUAUUGAAAAUCUAAUUUUUUCUUGGUUAAAUAAAAGGAGGAAGUACAGAAAAUGGCAGGAAUGCCAGAUAACAUCCAACGGGUACUCAUGUGCAUACCUUCAUUAAUGCAUUCUCAGGACAUAAAAAAGCAGUAGCAAAUGCAAAUGGUAUGUACAGCACAGCCUUGAUUUGAAUGGAAAGGUGCAAGGCAGCCAUAAUUUCAUGUAAGUUCUAUGAAAUGAUAUAUGGCUUCAGGAUCUUCUGACUGACCAGUAAAAGAGAGGACUUCUAAUUUCUUUCAAUCUAUCUGUCAAAAAUCCAACCCUGUAAUUAUAUGUGGAGCAGUGGGAGUGUGGAAAUGAAAAUAAGGAAAGGAGAAGAAUUGCGCAGAGAAAAAAGAAUUGAAGCAAAUGUGGAGUGGAAUUGCUUGCAAUUUUACCAUAAGUUAAAGGAUUUUAUUCAGCAGUACACUGUAAUUUUAAUUCUGUUUUUCCUGCCAUAUACCAACUCUUGAAGAAGUUACAGAAACAAUGGGAAUUAUCGUCAUAUUCAAUUCCACCCUGAAACAAACUCCUUCACUUUUAGCUAAAUUCAGAGGUGAGAAAAAUAGACAGCUCUCCAACAUUAGUUUCACUUUUUAUUCAUUUGUUUCAACACUUCGUGUAUAUUUUUAGUAAAAUCAUAUUUGGCCUCAACCUUACGAAUUUUAAAUAACAUUGAAGCACCGUCCCAGUUGUUUUUUACAGGCUAGAUAUGAUGAGGAUCCCAAGUAUUCCUGUUAACCAAGAAUAAACUCUAGGAAUUGGAAAACAGUCCAAGUCUUGGUCUGCAGCAUUAGGUUUAUUUGCAGAGAAAUUCAACUGUAUUAACAAUUCCUCCAAUACUCUGUGGCUCUGAUGAACAUUUCAGGGAAGGUAGUGUGUAUGUUUUCACUUUUUCUUAUACAAUGGAAACAGCAGUCCUUUCAUCAAGCACAAACUACAGUACUCAUGACAUGUGGCUAUCCCCAGCCCAAAAUACAUGUCAGGGAAGGGCAGUCAGAAAGGACAGGAGAACAUUAACAUGUGAAGAAAUCCCUCCCAAGCAGAAAAGGGCAAUGCUGGAUGUGAAUAUAUGAUUAUUAAAACCGCUGGAAUGUCAAAUGUAGAACUGACUAACUUCAGGUGAGAAAAUAACUCUUUUCUGGUAACUUCACUGUUUCAAAAAAGAGUGUGAGACUUGAGAAUCAAAUUGAAAUUAGGGUAUUUUACCAGUAAUUAAUCUUGAGCAGAUUUUUCCAAACAGUGUGAAUCUUCGGUUAAAUUCCCAACUUCUUCAGUUUGUCUUUACGCUGUUAAUCUUUUUCUUUUUUCUUAGAACACCAACUCAUGGUGGCAGUUAGGAAGGAUGCAAUAGUGAUUUAAAAAAAAACUAAAAUCCAUGUAUACGUAUACUUGGAAAGCACAUCGUCAGCUAAUAAUUUUGAUUGUAUUUUAAACUUGAUCUGAAAGCAAGGGCCAUUCCUUUGAAGUAAAGAAACUUGUUGACUACAAGACCAAUCCAGUUUGCUGACAACAAAUUUUGAGCUGAUAGUCUUUGCUCAUGACAAAAUCCAUGCACACACAAUCUGUACAUUAAAUAUUAUUUGGAAUGGAAUUUUAAAUAAAUGCAAGGAAAUUGAAAGUUCUAUAUAAAUCAGCCUACAAGGAAUAAAAUAUUUAUAAUAUACUUGUCUCUAAUAAUUCACUGGUUUCUUUUUUUAGUCAUUAUGUACAUUAUUCCCAGAAUUGAAUCUGAUACAAUACGUCUGACAAAGGGAUUCAUAGCAAAAUGGUGCUACAGCUGCUUCUUUUAAACUCACCUAAUUAUAAGCUCCAGAUGUCUUUCCUUUCUGGAGACUCAAAGACAACUCUAAUUUUAUUCACACAUACUGCUUGUCUAGGAUCAGGCUACACUGCAAUUCUCUUCUACCUAGAAAACAGAACUUUGUUUACAUUUGCAUCGUUGUACGUUCUUUUGAUUUUUCUAGUUUUUUCUGAUAUGCAUAAAAAUACUGUAUAUUCAUGCUAUGAAUAUAAAUAUAUUCAGAACGGCUGCAAAACACCACAAAGAAUUAUUGUCUUAAAGCUGGCACUGAUUUCAAGCAUAUAGAACACUCACUACUAACAACCAGCAUUGCUAAGGAUCAGGGGUAAAUUGACCUGAUAAACAUCCCAAAUGAAUCACUUAAUUUCAGCAUCACACUUGAGUGGGAAAAUGCAUUCGUUCUUCUACAACAGAACUACUUUUGGACAAUGUAUAGGAAAAGUUAAUUCCAUAAACAACAUGCAAACUGCUUUUUUUUUUUUUUCAUCUUAAUUUAGAUGAGCUUAUUUUACAUGCAAAAAAAAAAAAAAAAAAA